AAAUAGUAAACUAUUUCUUUUAAUUCUAAAUUUCUAACCCUACAAUCGGUCUCAUCUUCAGACUGACGCCGCCGCCCACUGUCCUUUCUCAAUCUCAGUAAGUUCUCUCCACGGCGCCGCCCCACCCGCUUGCCGCCAGUCGCCUUCCGCUCACCCGCUUCCUCUCGUCUCCCUCUCAUCUCGUGCCUCUCACCGUGAGUCCCCUCAUUUCUCAAUCUCAGUAUUUGAAACUCAGUUUUCAUAAGAGGAAGAAGAAGAGGAGAAAAGAGGCUUAGCAGGUUGCAGUAGCAAGAAGAAGCUAGACGACGCGAACGCAUUAAGCUGCACGAAAAGGGCAUGGAUCAAGAAGCAGCAAGAAGUGCGCGGGAUUCUCUGGACUUAGCGUUUCACAUGUCUAACAUUCUCGAAACUGGUUUGGAUCGCCACACUCUUUCGAUUCUGAUCGCUCUUUGUGAAAUGGGUAUCAACCCAGAAUCUUUGGCCGCCGUAGUUAAGGAGCUUCGUAGAGAAUUGUCGCCUCCUUCUUCCGCCGAGACAGCAACAUAACCAGGGUGGCCUCUCGGUGUGUAUGAAGAGAGAUAGAUGACUUGGAAGCAAAGGUACUCUGCUGCAUUUUACUUUGCAAUGGUAUUAAGUUUUCUGUGUAAUAGUAGUAAAGAACGAAAAAACAAGGCAAAUUUUUUUGCUACAGCCGUCGUGUACUAUUAUUUUGGAUUACAAAUUUAACAUGUAAUCAAUGAUAUGAUAUAAUAGUAUAGAUGGUUGGCAACUAAAUAGGCUUCAGAUAAUGUAUUCUAAAAAUAUUCUAAUACUACUAUAUAAAAAUUUAAUGCGAUUUCUUAAAGAUGA